rnacentral:rRNA from 1 species
GGGAAGUAGCAAUAAUGGAAAUCCAUGUUCUUGGGCGGCCUUUAACCUUAUCAGAGGAACUGGCAUCUUAAUCCGAUAAUCCGCGUUAUUUUUCACUUUUUUUUAAAGUCUUUAUAUCGCUGUCUUUAGAUAUAAAUCUUAACUUAUAUCUCUAAAAAUCUCUUUUCUACGUCAAGUCGAGAUAAAACCCAUAAAAAAGGGAGCCGAGUUACUUGUACUUUUAUUUAGGUUUAAAUUUCCAAAAAUAUUUAAAUUUAGGAUUUGAAAGUAAUAAACCAAUAAUCUUCUUUUAUGAAAUAGCAUCUUAGGUGU